rnacentral:rRNA from 1 species
UACGGGGGGAGCAAGCGUUGUUCGGAUUUACUGGGCGUAAAGGGCGUGCAGGCGGUUUGUUAAGUGCAGGGUGAAAGCUCCCGGCUCAACUGGGAGAGGUCCUUGCAUACUGGCAAACUCGAGGGAGGCAGAGGAAAGUGGAAUUCCCGGUGUAGUGGUGAUAUGCGUAGAUAUCGGGAGGAACACCUGUGGCGAAGGCGGCUUUCUGGGCCUUACCUGACGCUGAGACGCGAAAGCGUGGGGAGCGAACCGG